rnacentral:piRNA from 2 species
GAACCUUCAAUGAGUGUCCAGUGGGAGGUC